GCACAUGAAAAGAUGCUCAACAUCACUAAUUAUUAGAGAAAUGCAAAUCAAAACUACAGUGAGGCACCACCUCACACCAGUCAGAAUGGCCAUCAUUAAAAAGUCUA